GAGAAGGAGAAAGAGGAACAAGAAGAGAGAGAGACAAAGACACCAGACUGUCCGAGCCACACCCAGCCUCUUGGCGUCUACCUGCUGCCCCCUGCAGUGCAGGACCUGUGGCUCCGGGACAAAGCCACCUUCACCUGCUUCGUGGUGGGCAGUGACCUGAAGGAUGCUCACCUGUCCUGGGAGGUGGCCGGGAAGGUCCCCACAGGGGGCGUGGAGGAAGGGCUGCUGGAGCGGCACAGCAACGGCUCCCAGAGCCAGCACAGCCGUCUGACCCUGCCCAGGUCCUUGUGGAACGCGGGGACCUCCGUCACCUGCACACUGAACCAUCCCAGCCUCCCACCCCAGAGGUUGAUGGCACUGAGAGAACCCGCUGCGCAGGCACCCGUCAAGCUUUCCCUGAACCUG
rnacentral:lncRNA from 1 species